ensembl:lncRNA
UUGUUUAUGGGCGGCAACCUCACGAGGGGCGUCCCAUCCUUAUUGGCUCAUUGAAGCGAAGAGUGGCAUGAGAACAACCCAAUAAUAGGAAAAGAUAGAGGGUUCGCGAUGUGAGGCGCCCAAUGUGGGCCUUCUGCCGAAGAGGUAGGGGCGGGGGGAAGUUUAGGAGUUGAGGAAAGAAGAUUAAAGAGCGCGAGGAGAGUUUGAAAAAAAUGAAGCUUUCCAUGAAGCUUAAGUACUGAAGAAUAAGCAAAGCUCAAAGUUAUUAGAAGAAAGAAAAUAACAAAGACUAGAACAAAAGUAAAUGAACUAGAGACUAAAAAGACAAUAGAAGAGUCAAUGAAACGAAGAGGUAUUUGAAAUUGGUAUUCUACUUUGAAUUUGAAAAAAAUCUACUAGUAAAUCCAUUUGGUUCUGGAAUUCUGUUUGUUGAGAGGUUUUUGAUUACUAAUUCAAUCUCUUUAGCUAUAAUCAAUCUGUUCAGAUUUUGUAUUCCGUCAUGAUUUAAUCUUGGUAGGUUGUAUGUUUCUACGAAUUUAUCCAUUAUUCUAGGUUGUCCAGUUCAUUGGCAAAUAAUUGUUCGUAGUAGUCUCUCAUGAUCUUUUGUAUUUUUAUGGUAAAAAUUAUAAUAUCUCCUCUUUAAUUUCUGAUUUUAUUUAUUUGAAUCCUUUCUCUUCUUUUCUUAGUGUAGUGACAGAUCUUAAAAGAUCUGUCAAUUUUAUCUUUUCAAAGGACCUCCUCUUUGUUUCAUUGACUCUUCUAUUGUCUUUUUAGUCUCUAGUUCAUUUACUUUUGUUCUAGUCUUUGUUAUUUUCUUUCUUCUACUAACUUUGAGCUUUGCUUAUUCUUCAGUACUUAAGCUUCAUGGUAACUACAAACCUAGAACUUAUAGCAGAUACAUGCACAGAAAGAGGGAGGAGUAAAAGCGUAUUACCAAAGAAAGACUAGGCUCCCAGGUGGUGCUACUGGUAAAGAACUUGCCUGUCAGUGAAGGAGAUGUAAGAGAUCGGGGGUUUGAUCCCUGGUUGGGAAGGAAAUGGCAGUCCACUCCAGUAUUCUUGCCUGGAGAAUCCCAAGGACAGAGGAUCCUGGAGGGCUACAGCCCAUAGGGUCACAAAGAAUUGGAUAUGACUGAAGUGACUUAGCAUGCAUGCAAAGAAAGAUCAUUGUUUUUGUUUUUGUUUUUUUUUAAUCUUGUAAUUACUGUUAAUCAUAGGAUUUUGAAAAGAACAUAUGCCAAGUUUUGAUACUGUCUUUCCUAAACUGAUGUCAUUAUAUGGAUUUAGGUUGGAAAAGAGGACCACAGUAGAGCUUUAAAUCAAAACUUCAGUCUUCUAUAAAGGUUUAUAACUGCCCCAAUAUCCCUUUUGUUUGGACUCCAUGAGAAAAUUGCUGCUUGGCCCUAGAAUCUCUCUGUUUGGAAAUUUUCAAUAUGUAUUCAGUUUCUUACUGAUAUAAUAAAUAUUUAUUUUAAAAAAUAGGUAAAACAAUUUUGAUGUAGAGGUGCCUAUUGAGUAUUACCCUUUACCUCUUAAUACCAUUAGUAUGAUUCUAGGUAUCAAGCUCAACUAGAACAUGAGUUUUACUUAGUUACCAGCAACUAACUAAACAAGUAUGCCCCAGAGCAUAGAAAUAAUGCC